AUCCAUUUAAUACACAUUUUCUGUCAUUUACAUCAUAUUUAAAAUUCGGCGCUGACAGACAUUUUUAUUCAUGUUCAUAUUACGACGAUAACAGACAAACAGUUCAUCCUUUCGCUGUUGAAGUGUCGUAAAGCACUGCGGUCCUUUUUCUUAAUCCAUAGGAUUUACUUAGAUUAACACUGUGCUUCCCCUUUUAUAAAACGCACGUUCGAAUAAGACACAUAUUAUCAGAGAUAGUGAAGUAUCCGAGUUUCGCGGAGUUUUGAAUUUCUUUUUCUUCAUUUUGUUGGCUUUAUUCAAACUGGACUGUCAUGUUGCUUUCCAAUCUGAGCAAAGGACUGGCGGAAAUAAAGGCGACGGGGUACGGAGAAAGGGUGGAAAUCACCACGGAACGGACCGGAAGUCGGCGGUCUGGUCGAAAUGGUCAGGCAAGACGCAGACGGAAUUCUCCAAAUAAAACAUCGAGUGUUUCAGACCUACCCACCAACAGAAACAAAAACCCUUUGGUACUACCGAAGACUUUCACGACAAGAAAAGGACCACUGGUUUUAUAUACGGACAGCAGCCAAUCUCGUGAUCCUGUGGCGGGAAACUGGAGUAAAAAAUCAACAGCAUCUCGGAAUUUCAACGUGGACUUUCUGCUUCAAAAGGGAACAUUUUCGGGGAGUUCUCGAACGAGUGUUUCUGAGAGGAAACCUCCAAGUGUGGCUAGAUUUGCAGAGGCAGUUUUGAACUUUGAUCCAGGAGAUCAAAACAAGAAAUACACAGCCGCUGCUGAAGGCAGGAAUAAACAGUCUUGUAGACAUUGAUAAUGGUGCUCUAUAUAUUGUUACUCAUGACCUGUCUUGUUCAACCCCAAAGAUUGGCUCUAGAAGUCAAAAUGUACGCAAUUCGGAUAAUAAGGUGUUUCGAUCGUGAAAUUAAACUUUCAUCUGCACAA
rnacentral:sRNA from 1 species